rnacentral:misc_RNA from 1 species
AACUUUUGGCAACGGAUCUCUUUGUUCUCGCAUCGAUGAAGAACGCAGCGAAAUGCGUUAUGUACUGUGAAUUGCAGAAUUCAGUGAAUCAUCGAACCUUUGAACGCAUCUUUCGCUCCUUGGUAUUCCGAGGAGCAUGCCUGUUUGAGUGUCAUUUACAACUUCUCUACCACUUGGAGUCUCUCUGGGUGGCUUGGAAAUGGGGGAUGUGCAGGCCAGCUAAUGGUCUGCUCCCCUGAAAUGGAUUAGUGGCAUCUGAGCAGAGACUACCACAGGUGUGAUAACUAUUGAUCAAUGCCUUGGUAUAUACUGCAGGUUGUUGCUGCUUCUAAUGACCCAUUGACAAACUUGACCUCAAAUCAGGUAGGAUUACCCGCUGAACUUAAGCAUAUCAAUAAGCGGAGGCU